rnacentral:rRNA from 1 species
AAUUUUGGUCAAGGGGUGAAACCCUGACCCAGCCAGCCCGUGAGUAGUAUGAAUGCCNNNGGUUUNUCAAUAACGUUUGGCAGNAACNUAAAGAUACCUCCUAAUACGAGGUAUUUCUGACGGUAGCUGCUUUUUAACCACCGGCUAACGACGUGCCAGCAUCCGCGGUAAUACGUAGGGUCUAAGCGUUAAUCGGAAUUCCUGGGCGUAAAGCGGGUGUAGGCGGUUCGGAAAGAAAGAUGUGAAAUCCCAGGGCUCCACCUUGGAACUGCAUUUUUAACUGCCGAGCUAGAGUAUGUCAGAGGGGGGUAGAAUUCCACGUGUAGCAGUGAAAUGCGUAGAUAUGUGGAGGAAUACCGAUGGCGAAGGCAGCCCCCUGGGAUAAUACUGACGCUCAGACACGAAAGCGUGGGGAGCAAACAG